AAAAUAAACGGUCUAAUUUUGUCCCCCCCCCCCACAACAUGUGUCAUCCAGAAAUAGAUGUUUACAGUUGAAGGCGACGCGGACAAGGUAGGUACACAUUAUAUCUGUUCAUAUGAAUGUUUCACUGAAGUAGCUUUGUAUUAACACAAAAAACCGGUUGAAAGGAGGUCUAUGACAUAAUAGAGAAGGGAUGAAAUGUCGCUGAAUUUCUAUUUGAGAAUUCCCGGUUCAGCAGACCUCUUUUUUCAAUAAUUACUCCAAUUUAAGUUUUUUGUAUAUGUCUGGUCUACCAUUAGGGUUUCAAAACAUAAUAACCAAACUUAUAACAAAAGUUAAUUCAUAGUAUAGAUAUAUUACUAAAUACAACUAUUUAUAUUCAUAUUUUAAAAUAAAAAAAUUUAAAAAAUCAUUUAAAAAAAAAGGAUAAAAUAUAAAAUUAUAAAAAUAUAUAUAUAUAUACUAACAAUCUUAUCUACCUUCUUUACAAAACUUUUUGUUUUCUUAUUAUUAGUUUGAUUAAAAGUGCAUGGUUCUGUCUUUCUCUCUUUUUUUCUAACUAUCAUAUAUAUUCUCACUUCUAUUAUUCUAUAUAUAGGAUUAGAGUAUGUCUAAAUGACGUGUAAAAGCCGAUGCAAAAAACGUUACGUUGUUAAAUUUUAUUGUUAUUAAUUAUAAAUAUAUAAUUAACUAGAUGAUGUUUUAGAAGUAAAGGAAUUUUUUUUUCUCUCUAUCUAUACUAAAUAAUAACAAUUCACAAAUUUUAUAAUUUGAAUUUAAAUAAUCAAAAUAAUGAAGAUAAUUUUAAUAGAAUACUUAACUAUAAAACUAUACAACUAUUUAUUUAUAUAUAUAUAUAUAUAUAUAUAUAUAUAUAUAUAUAUAUAUAUAUUUGAAAAAAGGCACCUCCUUAUCGUGCAACUGAAAGUUGCUGAUAGCUUGCGCCAUCUAUCGGAAUAAAUAUCAACUAUUCUCGUUGAUUUUUAUUAUUCCAGAAUUGGCCAAAUACCCAUUCUUGAUUAAUCAAGAAAAGCUAACCACGAACGUGUUUCGGGCUGUUGGCCCUCAUCAGCGUGGUGCAAGCUGUACCUCCACGACCAAAGAAUUGGUCAUUAAGGCAUCCUGAAAAAUCUUUAAAAGGGUAGUUAAAGCCAGAAAUGCGUGAGAACGCUACACAAUGUGGAAUAAUAAAAUCAACGAGAAUAGUUGAUAUUUAUUCCGAUAGAUGGCGCAAGCCAUCAGCAACUUCCAGUUGCACGAUAAGGAGAUGCAUUUUUCUUAAUUUAUGCACCUUAUCCCAGUACAAUAUUACAUUUGUACUAUUUUUUCACACAUAUAUAUAUAUAUAUACUAGCGAACCCGGCCACGCGUUGCUGUGGCUAAGUUGUAAUAUGUCAAAUUAAUAUUAUACUAAACUAUUCAGUACAGUAAGGUUAAUAUUCACUUAUAAAGAUAAAAAUGUUUUAGCCGAUCUAAAGCCCUAUGGGAUUGAGAAUGGAACGUUACGUUAAAAUUUAAAAGUGAUUUUUAUAUAUAUUGAUAAUAUAGCCCUUUAUUGUAAUUAUUGAUUAUAUUCACUGCAUUAAUAAAUGUCAGAGAACCUGUUUUUUUUAUUUUUGAAUUAAAUGAGCUAGCCGAACCCGGGCAGACGUUGCCCUGCCUCUACGCACCUCUCUAUAUAUAAAAAUGGAUGCCUGUAUGUGUUUGUAAUCAAGAAUCUAGUAUGUGCUGGGGAAAAAUUAAAGAUGAGUCAUAAAGAAUUGAUGAAAAAAUAUAUCGAUUUUAUUAAUAGCAAUAUUUGAAAGAAUAUUGUAUCAUAUGAAAACUAAUCUAUCGUAACGCGAGUGGAUACACAAUAUUUUUGGUCCUCUCGUUUGGUGCGUAGAUAUAUAGAUUUUUUGGCGUUCCAAUUCGGGAGCAAGCGACGUAGAGUUGACCAUGUGAAAAACAUGGAUUUCCUAAAUGCAAACCGUCAACUCGCAGCGACUGUCCUUGGGAUUUGUUGAUUGUCAUUGCGAAAGCGAGACGCACGGGAAACUGAAGUCGCUUGAAUGUGAAGGGCAAAUCAGUGGGGAUCAUUGGAAUGCCCGGAAUGAGCACAUCCUCUCCUUCACAUUUGCCACUGAUUAUCGUCGUUUCAAUCACAUUCGGCAUCAACCUUUUUACGGAAAGUCUGGUUCCGUUGCACAACUUGGGUGUGUUGAGAUUCCGAAGAAGCAAUAUUGGCGAGCCAACUUUCAACGACAAUACAUGUGGUGGCAUUCCAGGAGGCUCCAAUGAAUUGAGAAAGUCGACUGGAUAAUUGACAGCUUGGUCCUCUUCUGUGACUGUGUCAAUAGAUUUGUAUUGCGUGACCGCUCCAGGAAUUUUCAAUAGUAUCUUAUGAUUGAUGCGAUUGACGUCAUCAUUCUUCGGAGCUAAGAUAGCUCGCUCGCAAAGCCAGUCGUGAUUCUUGAAAUUAGUGGCAAUAUCCGGGAAAACUACCUUUUCAAGAUCUCCAAUUGACGCCUGAAGUUGACCGAAGUUCGGUGGGAACGAUAUCUCGUGUGUUGCAGGAUCAACCGGAAUUUUUCUGUCGCCCAUAUUCAAAAGCUGCUUGGCAAAUGUUUGCGCAGAAACAUCUCCAUGUAAAUACACACGCAUAUUGGUCGACAGUGUAAUUUUCUUCAAAUGUCUCCAGAGAGCCGAAUUCUUCAAGCAUGCGUUCAGCUCUUCUGCUGGUGUUGCUCUUGGAAUGACAGGCAAGAUUUGACGGAAAUCACCAGCGAGCAGUAUCAGAGCUCCACCCAUUAGGCGUUGAUUGCCUCGGAAAUCGCGAAGAGUACGAUCAAGUGCCUCAAGCGCUUUCUUGUGAGCCAUCGUACAUUCAUCCCAAAUGAUGAUUUGGCACGUUUUCAACACAGUGGCCAUUCCUGAUGUUUUUCCGAUGUUGCAGAGAGGAACGUCGGCUAUAUUCAAAUUCAAUGGCAGCUUGAAUGCCGAAUGCGCCGUACGUCCUCCAUCGAGCAGUGUUGCCGCAAUUCCCGACGAUGCCACAGCCAGAGCAAUCUCAUGUUUCAUACGAAUUUCGGCGAGAAUCAAAUUGAGCAAAAAUGUUUUCCCAGUUCCGCCUGAGGCAUCAAGGAACAGAAGACCACCAUUUCCGGUUCGCACAUGCUCCGUGACUGUGUUGUACGCAAGGUUUUGUUCGUUUGUUAAGAGUCUUUUCUGAGUCUCAACAUAAACUUGCAGCGUUUCAGCGUCGUAUUGCAUUUCUCGCAACAUAUCUCUGUCGACAGCAUCAUUUCUGCCACGCUCGGGUGAGAUCAAGCCAAGCUGAUUGAGGAUUUUGUUGUUGAUCGACAAACAUAUAUCCUCAAGUGAUAUCAGCGCUUCAUUGAAAAUUUCAUCCGAAUUCUGCGCAUUGGGAUUUGCACUACGUACACGGCGAAGUAUGUCUUCGCUCAUACUCUCUUUAUGCUUCUCCCAUAGGCCUUUUGGGUCUGAAGGCGAGCAGGUGGUCAAAAUGAUAGCAAACAGAGUUCGUAUUUGCUUAGGAUGAAAUGUUCCAGAUGCUUCUGCCAGUGUGUUGUCCCAAUGCUGAUCAUUUUCAAGCAGACCAAGCUUGAAGCAUGCCUCUCUAUAUGUCUGACAGAUUUGGCCGUUGACGGUUUUGAUAGCUUCGAACGAUUGCGGGCCUUUGACUACAUGAAGCAGCAUUCGCAAAUAGUAGCAUUCAGCAUUGCUCGGAUGGACAGUAUACACUCGCCCCAAUGCGCCAGUGAAAAACACCUGAACCAUUGAAGAGUGCAGCAUGCCUUUUUUUCUCCGUUGCCACUUCUUCGUUGACUGAUUCCAUGUGUAAUACGUCGGAACCUGAUGAUACAGCAAUGUCGCAGCGAAUGUGUCACUGGCACACAAUUGAAAAAAUGCAGUCAACGUUGUAUUGGGUGGAUUUUCAGCUCGCUGGGCCGCGCUCUCUUCUGUGAAGUAUACUCGUUGACCAUUUUCCAAAUGCACACUGAGAUGGACGACAGCAGGAGAGCGUUCGUGGAUGUCAAAGCCAAGGAUUCGCCAUACAGCUUCAUUGCUGCUGAUAUAACGUCCCAUUUGAAACUGGUCGAUUUCAUUGACGGGUGCAUUUGGAUUUUGAAGUCCAAAAACUGCCAUAUCACUGCCCUUAUUCACGUAUUUACAAAUGUAUUUGAUCGAUUUGACAGAAUUGCAAAACUCCACGUUGAUAUGCGCAUCAAAUGCUUUCGAGAGCAAAGGAGAGUAAGGCACAAUCCACCGGUUAUCAACCACAAAAUCAACGUGAUUGAGUUUGAUUGUUGCUGUGUGGCCACCAUCCUCUGGUUUUCGUCGUCUGUACAGAGGAUAACCGUCGCCACCAGUUUGUGUGUCAUGCACCAGGUCUCUUGGAUACUUUUUGGUGCAUUUGCCAUCCUUUAUGCACGGUGAAUGUGGGUUUUGCGCUCCACACGGUCCGUGAAUCAUAUAUUUCUUGAUAAUCUGGUACAAUUCAGGAUCUUCUUGUGGAUCAGGCAGCUCAGCAGAAAUGAUAUUAUCGAUUUGAGUUGGAAGAAUCUUUUCCUCCAACCAAAUCAAGAUGUGAGCAUGUGGAGUGCCUCUUUUUUGCCAUUCGAUGGAAUACAUCCAGCAGCGUGUUGGACCGUAUAUAUGGUUCUUAACGAUGAGAUCAAUAAAACAUUUCAAUUUCUGUUUGAAAACUCUCGCUAUGAGGUCAUGCCGAUGAGAUGACUGUUGGCCAGGCAGAAGUAGAAUUUUGAUUUCGGCCCAUGCUGGAUUGCAAGUGAAUGUGAGGAAAAGAUAUGGACGUCCAUAUGUGCGAACAUAGGUCAUAGCAUCCUGAGCAUAUUCAUGCAUAUGUCUCGGACUUCCAGCGUACGAAGCUGGAAGUAUGACCAUUUGCCCAAUGUUUGCAGCAGCAGCGGCUCCAUCAUUCGCGAUUGCAUCCCGCAAAUGAAUGUAUUGGUCAGCUCGAAGCUUUGACUGAUUGAAGCGAAUGUAGUUGAGACGUUCGCUUUCGACUUUGGCAUACAUGUCAACGAUGAAUUGUUGGAAAAGUUGACGACACCUCAGGAUGUGGUUGGAUUCUUGGGCUCGAAUCAUGAUGCGAUAUGCAUAGAAGUCCAUACAGCUGACUUUUUUCAUUGUCACGGCGCCUGAGAUAGGAUGAACUUGAUACAGUUCGAGAUGAUAUCCGUCUUCACCGCGCGGAAAAAUAAUUGUAUAUUGAAGGGCGUCGUACGAUCGGUGCGUUUAAGCAACACGUUGCUUGGUUCCAUCUCGUCUGCAGAUAACAAUAUCUCGUCGGGCGAUCUCUGUACCGACAAUCACAGCUGCUACCUCAGGAGCCAUCGGAGCAUUGAAGCGUCGUUCAUGCUCAUUCGUCGGCGUCUUGUCUGCCCUGAUGAUGACUUUCAUAUCAUCCGCUCGCACAUUCUCUACUGCGGAUUUGAAGUCUCGGACCAAACAGUUGUGAUCGUGGAAUAGCGUUUGUAAUUCAGCGAGGAUUGCCCGCCUUGUUGCUUCACUGAAUGCGCAUCGUCGAUCAAUCUCCUCCUCCACGUUGUCCAUGAAAUAAAUCUGCAAAAACCUCGGAUCUUCAUUGGAUACUGGAAGAAGUGAACCAAUCUGAUGGUACACUUGCCCUUGCACUUUGAAUGUGGGCUCGAAAUUUCCAAAACGCUCAAUAUGCGUCGCUCCAAACGAUGUCAUUUGGAAGCAUGAGUUGCACUUCCCAAUAUGCUGAAGGAAAUGUUUCGACUCCCGAGUUGCUCCAGCUACGUAUGUUAGAAGUGGCUGUGGCGGCUCAACCAUCGGAGGCAAAUUGACUUUCCCAUUGGAGCAACACAUCCCGGGCGUUUCCCUCUGAAACUUCAAUGCAUGACAGUGUAGACACAAUUUAUCCAUUGGACCAAUGACCAGAUCUUGAUGCAUUUUGUAAUCGUAUUGUUUAUCGUAGUUGAACGCAGCUUUUUUUAGAGCGAUCCUCGUUCGUGAUCGAGCCUGGCGUGAGCGUUGUGCCUCAUGUCGUGCAUCUCGCUCUUCGGGUGUUUCAGCAGCCCUUGAAGUAGACGCUCUGAUUCGUUCGAUUUCCCGUCGUGUGUCUCGCUGUUCGGGUGUUGCAGCAGCUCUUGAAGUAGACGCUCUGACUCGAUCAAUUUCCAUUCGUGUGUGUCUCGCUGUUCGGGUGUUGCAGCAGCCCUUGAAGUAGACGCUCUGAUGCGUUCGAUUUCUCGUCGUGUGACUAGCUGUUCGGGUGUUGCAGCAGCUCUUGAAGUAGACGCUCUGAUUCGUUCGAUUUCCCGUCGUGUGUCUCGCUGUUCGGGUGUUGCAGCAGCUCUUGAAGUAGACGCUCUGACUCGAUCGAUUUCCCGUCGUGUGUCUCGCUGUUCGGGUGUUGCAGCAGCUCUUGAAGUAGACGCUCUGACUCGAUCAAUUUCCCGUCGUGUGUCCCGCUGUUCGGGUGUUGCAGCAGCUCUUGAAGUAGACGCUCUGACUCGAUCAAUUUCCCGUCGUGUGUCCCGCUGUUCGGGUGUUGCAGCAGCUCUUGAAGUAGACGCUCUGACUCGAUCAAUAUCCCGUUGUGUGUCCCGCUGUUCGGGUGUUGCAGCAGCUCUUGAAGUAGACGCUCUGACUCGAUCAAUUUCCCGUCGUGUGUCUCGCUGUUCGGGUGUUGCAGCAGCUCUUGAAGUAGACGCUCUGACUCGAUCAAUUUCCCGUCGUGUGUCUCGCUGUUCGGGUGUUGCAGCAGCUCUUGAAGUAGACGCUCUGACUCGAAUUUCCCGUCGUGUGUCUCGCUGUUCGGGUGUUGCAGCAGCUCUUGAAGUAGACGCUCUGACUCGAUCAAUUUCCCGCCGUGUGUCUCGCUCUUCGGGUGUUGCAGCAGCUCUACUGGCUGACACUUGCCGCGCAUUUCUGGUUGAUCUUCCAAGGUUGUUCUUUUUUCGUGGCAUUUCAAAAACGUCUUACAAAUUAACGUUUGGUGACAAAUGAGUCGUCCGAAGAUAGAAGGCAAUGACCUACAACGGAACAAAAAUACAUAUUUUUACUAUUCUAUUCACAUCUAGUGUAAGGGCGAGUAGAUUAACAAUAUUUUCGGUUUGGUAAUUUGGUAUCUUAAUGUAAAGAGGUCAAGAGGUGAACACAAUUCCAAUGUAAGUCACUGCAUUAAUAAAUGUCAGCGAACUUGUUUAUAUGUACUGUUUUUUUGUUUUUGAGAUAUUCUAAUAGAACGUUCUCACAAUUUGUGUAAAAUAUUUAUAUAUGCACAAACACCUAAUUUAAAAAUAUGUCUUAAAAGCUGCUAUAAUAAUUGUUAUAAAUAUUAUUUUAAAAUAAAUCGCCAGAAAUUGCCCGGGUAGUAUACUAAACAACUUCCCAAAGUUUCAUGAUUAUUGAUUAUAAUCACUGCAUUAAUAAAUGUUAGUGAACUUGUUUAUAUGUAUUGUUUUUUUGUUUUUGAGAUAUUCUAAUAGAACGUUCUUAUACAGCUUAGUGCCGUAUAUCUAUUAUAAGAGCUUUAGAGAGUAGAUAAGUAACUAUAUAGUAGAUGGACUUGCCUUCAAUGCCGCUCCAGGUAGGUUCCUCCUCGGUUAAUCCACACAGUCCCGGAGCCCACCUCCUCUAGCCAACUUGCCGCGUUUGUCGUCACCGCCCUUCUUUCUCACUCCCCCGCUUCCUCCCACAUUGGAAUGUCCGCGUUUGUCGUCACCGCCCUUCUCUCUCACUCCCCCGCUUCCGCCCACAUUGGAAUGUCGUCUGGACUUUGUCUACCCCCAGACACGCGGGCCAUCCUCCCGCAGUUGGAAUUCAUCCACCUUUCCACAACUUCACCCUGGGACCUCUGCCUCUCUGAUAUCUUUAUUGCUUUUAUUGAUUAAUGCUUUUCGUCCCGAAAAUAAUUUAGAAUAUGUAUUACCUGUCCACAGCUUUUUUUUAAAGAUGAGAAAUGUACGCGAAAUUAAAUUUAGAAUAUUAAUAUAAUCUAGCCCUUAUUGUUUAUGUUAAUUUUUAUUUUAAAAGGCCUACAUUUUAAAUAAAAUAAAUUUUUAAUAAUUUGCUACAAUAAUAUAAAAGAAAUGAAAAUAUAAAAAAACACCCACGCUGAGCCUCGAACCUAGGUUUGUUACAAAUAUUAUUUUAAAAAAAUUUUAUGUUAAUUUUUAUUUUAAAAAGCCUACAUUUUAAAUAAAAUAAUAUUUUUAAUAAUUUGCUACAAUAAUAUAAAAGAAAUGAAAAAAAAAAACACCCACGCUGAGCCUCGAACCUAGGUUGCGGGGGUACGAAGCUGUGUACCUAACCUAUAGGCUAAGCUUGACGCUACAAAUAAGCUCAUGCGAGGCUAUUUUAGGCCAUACAUCGGCCGCGAGGGGGCGCUGAUUGCGAGUGAAUCUACGUUUUAUUGUAAAUAAAUAUGUAACGAAAGGUUAUUUCUAAAGAGUAAUUAGCCAGAAACCAUCCCGGUAGUAUACUUAACAUC
rnacentral:piRNA from 1 species